UAUUAUUAGUGUCUAACUCUGUGACAACUGCAUCGUUCUCUGGUACUACUUCAACAUCAUCAUCAUCUGAUAUGACUGCAACUGCAGUGACAUCUGGUACUACUACAAUUGCCUCACCAUCUGAUACUACUACAACUGCAUUGACAUCUGGUAGUACUACUACAAUUGCGCUGACAUCUGGUAC
rnacentral:lncRNA from 1 species